CUCAGUAUUGAGUGAGACUUGAUCUAAUAACACAACCAGGGAUGAUUCUGUUCUGCUAUUUGCUGUGCCUGUCCCUGCCCAUGGGAACCAUGUCACAAAUCCUUUUCACUCAAUCCAACCCAGAAAUUAGGAAGCCUGGUGAAAGUGUGAAAAUAACCUGUAAAACAUCAGGCUUCACUUUCACUGAUUAUUACAUGCAUUGGGUUCGACAAGCCCCAGGAGGAGGAUUACAGUGGAUAGGCAGAAUUGAUCCUGAGAAUGGGGACACAGAGUAUUUAUCUUCAUUGCAAGAAAGAUUAAAAGUGACUACAGAUAAUUCAAUUAGCACAGUGUACUUAGAGAUCAGCCGUUUGAAGCUGGAAGACACAGCCACAUAUUAUUGUGCUAGAGACACAGUGGAAAAAGUCAGAGAACCUCCCAUACCAAAAUAA